rnacentral:rRNA from 1 species
CCUACGGGAGGCAGCAGUGGGGAAUAUUGCACAAUGGGCGCAAGCCUGAUGCAGCAACGCCGCGUGAGGGAUGACGGCCUUCGGGUUGUAAACCUCUUUUAGCAGGGAAGAAGCGAGAGUGACGGUACCUGCAGAAAAAAGCACCGGCUAACUACGUGCCAGCAGCCGCGGUAAUACGUAGGGUGCAAGCGUUAUCCGGAAUUAUUGGGCGUAAAGAGCUCGUAGGCGGUUUGUCGCGUCUGCUGUGAAAUCUGGGGGCUCAACCCCCAGCCUGCAGUGGGUACGGGCAGACUAGAGUGCGGUAGGGGAGAUUGGAAUUCCUGGUGUAGCGGUGGAAUGCGCAGAUAUCAGGAGGAACACCGAUGGCGAAGGCAGAUCUCUGGGCCGUAACUGACGCUGAGGAGCGAAAGGGUGGGGAGCAAACAGGCUUAGAUACCCUGGUAGUCCACCCGUAAACGUUGGGAACUAGUUGUGGGGUCCAUUCCACGGAUUCCGUGACGCAGCUAACGCAUUAAGUUCCCCGCUGGGGAGUACGGCCGCAAGGCUAAAACUCAAAGUAAUAGUGGCGUUGUGAGAGCGACGACGACGACGAGGAGGAGGAG